rnacentral:rRNA from 1 species
UACGAAGGGGGCUAGCGUUGCUCGGAAUCACUGGGCGUAAAGGGUGCGUAGGCGGGUCUUUAAGUCAGGGGUGAAAUCCUGGAGCUCAACUCCAGAACUGCCUUUGAUACUGAAGAUCUUGAGUUCGGGAAAGGUGAGUGGAACUGCGAGUGUAGAGGUGAAAUUCGUAGAUAUUCGCAAGAACACCAGUGGCGAAGGCGGCUCACUGGCCCGAUACUGACGCUGAGGCACGAAAGCGUGGGGGAGCAAACAGG